UAUAGCAUCUAUACUCGCUUUCUCUCUCCCUCUCCCCCCCUUCUCCCUCUUCCUCUCUCCCAGUGCGUGUUUGUGUGUGUGUGUGUGCGCGCGUGUGUGUGUGUGUGUUAGAAUGCAACACAGGUGAACAUUGCAGCAAUAUUUAUCUAAGGCUAUAUAUCAUUUGGCGAAAUGCCUUAAUAAAAUGCUGAUUUAUUGUUUAUUUUUAUUAACCUCGUACUAUAGAGAAGAAAUGCAUGCUUACAUUACUCAAGGAACCGGGCAAGGCAAGUCUUUCUAAACUGUUAGAAUGCGUUAUGUACAGUUUUAGGAUUUAAGUCUCUCAGUUCCCCUCCCCCAUCAAAAAAAAGAACAUUAUACUUUGAAUUAUUUAACAGUAUAAUUUGUAUAGAAUUUUUCUAAGUCUAAAGUGCAAACAUUAAAGGUCUCUCGAGUAUACGUGAUACAAUGAAUCUUCUGACUGAGAUCUACAAUAUUUACUGUUGAAAUUAAUAAAUGCACUUCAACAGCUUGUACAUGCUGCAGUUGCUAUAAGACGCAUAUUGAAAAAUUCAGCACAGACACAGAAUAUGGACUGCUCUGCACUUCUAAAGGAAUUAGGACUUGAAAUUCAUGCUGCUACUGUUCUUUAAGGUCUCCAGAUGGCUGUGACGUAAAGAAGAAACAUCCUGCAUGGAUUUCUUAAGAAUAAACAGUCUGUAUUUACUUUAAAGAGGAAUGCUUAUGAUUCUCUAAUUAUUACAGUCAGAGUCCUGUCCUAAUGCCAGUAACCCCACCUUCUGUAUGGAACACACAGAGGAACCCUACUUAAACUGCUCUGAAGUACAUAAGGAGUGUAAAAUGCUACACGAAUCCUCUCUUCAUACUAAAUUAGAAUAUAAUUCACAAAGAUGUAAACCACAGUGUGCCAGUACAAUCCAGACCAGCAUUUCCUGCAUAAUAUCCCUUUCCUUUCAGCCAGGUAAGCCACUUGACUGGCUUGCCUUCUAAUGAAGGUGUCUUAUAAUUUCUUUUGUGACCACAAUUUCAUUUUACAGGCAAGCGCAGAUUACAUUUCUGUUAUGCUGAGCACAUGGUAUGCAAGGGGGCAUCUAAUACCAGUCCAAAUUACAAAAUAAGAAAAGGCAGACUAUCGAGAAUUCAAAAUCUUGAAAAAAUAAACGAACCCCAAAUGUUCAGUAAUUAUACAUAGAAACACUGUAUGCUGUUAAAGAACACGUAUUCUUAUUUUUAUGCAAUGUAUUUUCUAUUGUCUGACUUUUAUUGAAUGAAAAAUAAAAAUUACCGUUUCUUGUC